GUUGCUGUUUCCUACUCCAUGGGAUCUUCCCGGCCAAACCCAGGUUUUCUGAAUUGGCAGUUAUCAUUAAAACUGAAUCUAUAUGAAGAUGUGAAAUAACUGAAGCUUCAAUGACUGCUCAUGAGUUCUUUCUGACCUGCUGAGAUGUCUGAGUUGUACACACUUACCACACAAGGAUGCUCUCAUGGAUGCUCUGGAUCUCCUAUCAGCAUAGUGAGUGAGAAAGCUCAGUAGUGUCCGACUCUUUGCGACCCCAUGGACUGUACCCUACCAGGCUCUUCUGUCCAUGGAAUUUUCCAGGAACCUGUUUAUUGAAAACUGAACCAAACUCAGCAACGGACAGAAACUUCUUGAUGAGAUAUGUGGAAAUUCUAAAAUACAGAAUAUAAUAAGUUAUAAACACCUUCCUAUUUUCAAAAGAUGAUCAUGGUGAGAUGACUGUUUUAAAACAGAAAUGUUACUCUGAAAAUAUGCUCUUUGAAAAGAAAAUAAGACAGGUAGGAAUACCUGACCAGGUUAAAAUUAUGACUGCUUUUAGUAUAUUAAUCUAUAUCUAAAUAAUACCAAGAAAUAAGGAUAAUAGACAUUUAAGACAAAGUUAUAAAUAAUAUAAAAGAAAAUAUGAUUAGGCAAUUCCCUCAUUUUCUUAUUCCAACGUUAUUAACCUGCUUGUGUGUUUAUCUAAAUUUCGUUCUCAGUAAAACAGCUGUCUCUGCCCCACAGGAAGCCCAAACUCCCUUCAAUCUUAUUCAUUGAUUGAGCAAAUUCAUGAAAAAUUCAAGCAAUUCAAGUUUAUGUUAAUGUGAGGGUGAGCACAUUAUUAGUGACAUAGCUGGAUACACUAGCAAUUAACUGUAAGAUCUUUGAUGUUGUAAUCAAAUAAUAAAUUCUAGCAUGAAGGUUCUGCUAGAUGUCUCCAUUAAAUGAUCUCUAAGGUCUCCUCUGUUUUAAAUUUAUCCUGUAGCUCUUUAAAUCAUUUGACUGUACCAUAAUCUAUCUAUGUAUCAAGUGACAUCUUGACACUCUUCCCUUUCCCUUGCAGAAAAUUGUCAGAAUUCCCCAAGGAGGAGAGGGUAAAAGCUGUUUUGAUACUUGAUUCCUUUGCUUUCCUUAUCACAAACUUUCCAAAAAACACAAAUGAAGUCAGAUAAUCUUGUUUGGAGCCUGCUGAGAAAUCCAGUAAUCCAAUAAGUUAUCUCAGGAUUCAUUUACAGUGCAGACAGAGUAGUCACCUAAAAUAUAUCCCUUUUGACAGAAUAUACCCUGGAUUUCUCAGUAUGGUGAGCUUGAAAAUAUAUUCAGGGGAACAACCCUUCAGCAAAUAUUUGCAGACAGCCUACUAUGUACCAGGUUGUGAUUUAGCAGGGAACAACAGAGGUAAGCCUCUGUUCUCACAAUAUAUACAAAUGGUGAAAAGGGUUAAGAAAGAAAAGAAAAUGAAGCAGGAAAUGAGUAUAGACUGUGAUCACAGUAAGUAAUCUAUUUUAUACAAGAUAGCAAGGCUGAACUCCUUUGAUUUGAGGUCCCUAUUUGAAUACAGAUCUAAAUUAAAUGAGGGAACAAAAACUCAUAUAGACAUACAAAGCUCAGAGAGUAUAGCUCUCUAAGAGAAAAAUGGUUUUCAGGCAGAAAGAACAGCAAGUACAAAAGAUGAGAAACGACAAGGGGUCAAUGGGGCAGGAGCAGAAUGAAUGACAGAAAUUAAAAUUAGAGAACUAAUAUAAGACAUUGAAUUAUACUUUUUAUUUUGAAUUAUUUUAAGGUAAAAAUUCAUGUACAGUAAAAUGCAUAGAUCCUAAGUACACAAAUAAAAUACAGAGUAUUUCCAUUACCCUAGAAAAUACUGUUACCCCCCUCCGCCCCGCUCCAGUCAUUCCAGUCCUCUCAUAGACAAUGGCUGUUCUGAUUUCUAUCACCAGAGAUCAACUUUAUCUCUUUUCAAACAUGAUUUGAAUGGAAUUAUACAAUGCAUAUUUUUGGUGUCUGGCUUCAUGUUUUUGUUUUUUUUUUCAGAUUCAACCAUGUUAUUAAGAUAUCAGAUAUUAAUUCUUUUCUAUUUCUGUGUAGUAUUCCAUUGUAUAAAUAUAUCACUACCUGCUUAUCAAAUCUUAUUGAUUUGGGUUAUUUCCAGCUUUGGGAAACUGUGAAUGGAGCUGCUGUGAAUACUGAUAUGUGAUCCCUUUUGUGGAAAUAUGUUGUCAUGUCCCUUGCAUAAAUAGAAUCAA